UACGUAGGGCGCAAGCGUUGUCCGGAAUUAUUGGGCGUAAAGAGCUUGUAGGCGGUUUGUCGCGUCUGCUGUGAAAAUCCGGGGCUCAACCCCGGACUUGCAGUGGGUACGGGCAGACUGGAGUGUGGUAGGGGAGACUGGAAUUCCUGGUGUAGCGGUGGAAUGCGCAGAUAUCAGGAGGAACACCGGUGGCGAAGGCGGCUCACUGGCUCGAUACUGACGCUGAGGUGCGAAAGCGUGGGGAGCAAACAGG
rnacentral:rRNA from 1 species